AUACGGAGGAUCCGAGCGUUAUCCGGAUUUAUUGGGUUUAAAGGGAGCGUAGGUGGACAUGUAAGUCAGUUGUGAAAGUUUGCGGCUCAACCGUAAAAUUGCAGUUGAUACUGUGUGUCUUGAGUACAGUAGAGGUGGGCGGAAUUCGUGGAGUAGCGGUGAAAUGCUUAGAUAUCACGAAGAACUCCGAUUGCGAAGGCAGCUCACUGGACUGUUACUGACACUGAGGCUCGAAAGUGUGGGUAUCAAACAGGAUUAGAUACCCUGGUAGUCCACACAGUAAACGAUGAAUACUCGCUGUUUGCGAUAUACGGCAAGCGGCCAAGCGAAAGCAUUAAGUAUUCCACCUGGGGAGUACGCCGGCAACGGUGAAACUCAAAUGAAUUGACGGGG
rnacentral:rRNA from 1 species